AAGAUUCUGGCAUUCGUGCCUAACCUCUUCAGCUGUGCGCUUCGGCUGCACGCUGUUGAAUAUACCACACCUGUGCACUUCUUCGGUUGCAGUCCGUUACUUGGAUUGCUUCCGCCUUUUACAUUCAACUACAAGUCUUGUAUGUCAAAUACUAUAAAGUAA
rnacentral:misc_RNA from 1 species